UGCGUAGGCGGUUGCCUAAGUCAGAUGUGAAAUCCCCGGGCUUAACCCGGGUGGUGCAUUUGAAACUGGGCAUCUUGAGUGCAGGAGAGGGAAGCGGAAUUCCUAGUGUAGCGGUGAAAUGCGUAGAUAUUAGGAGGAACACCAGUGGCGAAGGCGGCUUUCUGGACUGUAACUGACGCUGAGGCACGAAAGCGUGGGGAGCAAACA
rnacentral:rRNA from 1 species